ensembl:ncRNA F59D12.12 ncRNA
GAAAAGAACACAGAGACGGAAAACCAUCGCGUUGUAUUCGAGUCUCACACCGUGUUUAGCUCCCGCAGGACUGAUUAGGCACCGGUAAACACGGAAAAAAUGGGUGGUGUCUCCGCGAAAUAGAGGCUGUUGUUUCUUAGUCUU